rnacentral:rRNA from 1 species
CACACACUCUCUCAGUCUCUUUCCUGCGACCCCGGCCCAAGAGGGAAACCACAACCACAACCACCCCCCACCUCCCCUCCUCCGCUCGCCAAAUCACAAACGCCGAAGAAGAGAGGAGACGAAAGGGGAUCGCCGCCGCCGCCGCCGCCGAGGAUGACGUCGAUGCUGUCCGCGUUCUCGUCGUGGUUCGUGAACCCGCGCCGCAACCCGCUGGCCCGCAUCCACAUGCUCACCAUCUCCAACCGCCUCAAGAACUACGGCCUGAGGUACGACGACCUGUACGACCCCUACUUCGAUCUGGACAUCAAGGAGGCGCUCGGCAGGCUGCCCCGGGAGGUGGUCGACGCCCGCCACCAGCGCCUCAAGCGCGCCAUGGACCUCUCCAUGAAGCACCAGUACCUCCCCGACGACGUCCGGGCACUGCAGACACCAUUCAAAAGCUAUUUGAGCGACAUGCUGGCUCUGGUGAAAAAGGAGGCAGCAGAGCGUAAAGCACUGGGAGCCCUUCCCCUCUACGAGAGAACCCUUCCUUGA